rnacentral:rRNA from 1 species
GUGUUCGGGUUGUCAUGCCAAUGGCACUGCCCGGUAGCUAAAUGCGGAAGAGAUAAGUGCUGAAAGCAUCUAAGCACGAAACUUGCCCCGAGAUGAGUUCUCCCUGAGACUAUAAGUCUCCUGAAGGAACGUUAAAGACGAUGACGUUGAUAGGCCGGGUGUGUAAGCGCAGCGAUGCGUUGAGCUAACCGGUACUAAUGAACCGUGAGGCUUAACCUUACAACGCCGAAG